rnacentral:snRNA from 1 species
AUAUUCGCUUCGGCAACACAUGUAAUAAAAUCGGAACAAUACAGAGAAGAUUAGCAUGGUCCCUGCACAAGGUUGACACACAAAUUAGGGAAGUGUUCCAUGUUUUG